GCGUGCGAUGCUUGCAUUGCGACAUAGACCUGAAUUUUCUGCUUCAGGUCUGUGAUCGCGACUAGCCAUGCAGGGUGCAGGUGACCUGUCACUCGCGGAUGGCUGAUUCUAAUCCUGGAUUAGUGAAGGUUGAGCACUGCUCCCAGUUAGAAGAGGUACGGCCUGACUUUUUGAAAAGCUUCCUUACUGGGGAGUGCCUAUUAUUCUCUUCUGUGGUGUCAGCCAUUUUUCUUCACGGUUUACUGUCCUUGGCUUCUCGCUGCAGACACCCAUGAAAAGUCUGAAAGAACAAGAACAAACUUGGAUAGAUGAGAUGGACCAUAGACGUAAAAACCACAAGUAGCCCACAGGCUGAGGUCUCUCAUUAGAAGAUAUGCGGCCCGACAUUCAAGCUCCUACUCAAGGCUAAGAAGGAAAUGAAUCUCACAGACAUGACCAGAGGAACUGAAGUCACUUUUGGCCAUUCUGCAUAAAACAGGAUCUGCUCUCAAGGUCUCUGAUGUAUGUGACUGGAAUUGCCUUUCACCUGAGUUGGUCUUCCACAAAAUUGAUCAACAGAUAACCAUAUUUCAAGAAUGGUUCACAGAAAGAUACACUUACGCAGCAUUCUCCGCCGUCAUCUAUCAAAGUGUUCUCCAGUGGAGGCUGAAGGGUUUUCAAAUGGCUGAGGUGUGCCUCAAGAUGUUUCUGACCGUGGAAGAAGCAAAUAUACCUUGAAUGUGUUGAAAGAUAUUGGGACCCAAUGUUUUUAAAGAUAAUGCUUUCCCCGUGAGCUGACGAUGGAUGAGCUGAUCAGGAACACAGAUGCUGAAUAUUAUACUUGCUUUCUGUAGGCUGCUGGAGGAAGCGUUUCUGUCAGAUGUGAGCAGAUUGUCAUUUUCAGCAUCAUCACAGGAGAACAGCAUCGUUACAAAAUUCCCAAAUACAAGUGAAGAAGAAUGCAGACGCGUGGAGGAUCUGUAGAUAAUGGAAACUGCUUUCUCUCAAAGACGCUGGAUGCUUCAGAGUUCAUAGAAAACCAGUACCAUAACCUAAGUGUUAAAGUUAUCUUAAUAUCACUUUUAUUAACUCAUUCUUGCUUUGAACAUUCCUUGCGUCAAAAUUAUCUGUUUAUAAUGGCACCAGUAAGUUGCCUAUUACAUCAAGUUAUUUUUAACCGCAACACGUACAAGCAUGUUCGAGAUCUGUGUACAGUUUCUGCUUUUUUACAUCAAGAUUUAAGUACAGGACACUUUAUCGUAUUCUUGCAGAAAAAUUUGAGGUCUGUCUUUUUUUUGUACAGAAGAGUUUGAUCAUGCAACAAUAUUAAGUCCAGAGCACACCAUAUUUAUAGCUUACAGACAUAUUUGUAACAAAAAUAUAUAAAAUUGUUUAUAAGAGUUGCAUAACAUUCUGCAAAUCAAAAAGGAGGAAACGUAAUUGAACAGCUGAACAUUCCUAGUUUUUUAGCAUUGUAUGUUUUGAACAUGUGUAUAAUGUUGACUUUUAUUUCACAGACUAACACAAAACAUAACUUUUAACAAGAUGUUGCAAACAAAUGACAAAAAAAUAAAAUCUAUCUACCUUGUCAAAGAGUGUGUGCUGUAAUCUUGACUUGCUUUUACAUGUUCCAAAGUACAAAGUAAACUUCUACAUAACACAAAAAUACUUUUCUGAGUAGACAAUCAAGUUUAUGUCUCUCAAUACUGGUUUAGCUGUGAGUGUUGUGCAGACUCUACAAAACUCACAAAAGUGGACAAUGAUUCUGGAAAUUUCUGACAAAGUCUGCUGCUUUGAAAAUACACAUAUGCAGAUUCAGUGUAACUUUUUUUUUAAGUGGCUCCAUCUGCCUAAAAAUGGCACCCUGCGCCACUCUCCAAAUGUGAUGGCACGGGGCAUUUUUUGGAAGUGAUUGCUUCUCAACGGCUGUAUAUGUAAAUGGCAUUUACAGUUUACAUGUAUGCAUUAAUACUUUCAUUGCAGAUAAGAGGGCUGAACUUGCUUCUGAUCAGACUGUUGGUCGGUGAUCAUUAUGCCACAUGAUGCCCAAAUACAAGCUUAACUUAAAAGAGAAAAACACCUAUUUCAGGGGUCAUUUUUAAAAUACUGCUUAUUUUAAUUUUAUUUCUUUUAAAUGCUGGCUUCAAAAAUGACUGAGGAAAGGCAACCGAAAUCGACCUGGGGGAAAAAGUGAAAAUGGCCGCUAGUGAUCGACACCACCAAGCAAGCAGUGGCUAACUCGUGACCCUCCAAAAGCCAUCAAAGUCCAACAAAGUUUUGCAGAAUGUUGCAGGAUGACUAAUGCAUUGUAUGCGAAGGUCAGCCACUAGUUGAGACACUGAUUCCAACCAUAAAAGACUGAAGAAAAAACUGGAGUAAGAUGAAUACUGCAACUACCAAGCUCACUUGCCAAACCAUCUGUAAUUUAAAUUACAAAAUGGUGACUGACACAAAUGUGAUAAAAAGUAUUAAGUACACUUGGGAAAUGGAGUUCUGAUGCCACAACAUAAAUCCAUUUAUACCAUCAGGUAUAAAAGAAUACAAAAAGCUUUUUUGUUUUUAUGUGGACUGCUCACUUCAUAUCUUGACAAUUUUAAAAGGAAUUCCAAGUGUUGCAGAGAAAUUCACUAAUUAGAUUGGAGUGGGUUUCUCCAUUUUGUAAAAAUCAACUUCUUGCAUCUGUAAACUCUACAGCUGUGUAACAUUAAACUACAUUGGUGAGGUAGCGAAAUGUUUGCAAAGCAGCACCACAGUUCACUUGCAUACCAAGAAAAUAUCGCCAGCCUUGAGUUGGUCAGAGAUCACAGAAA